rnacentral:misc_RNA from 1 species
GAUGAAGAACGUAGCGAAAUGCGAUAAGUAGUGUGAAUUGCAGAAUUCCGUGAAUCAUCGAAUCUUUGAACGCACAUUGCGCCUUCUGGUAUUCCGGAAGGCAUGCCUGUUCGAGAGUCAUUAACAACCGUUUCGAUCCCUUUCUUUCAGAAAUUACAAAGAGGAAAAGGGUUUGGUUAUGGUGGAGGAGGGAAAGGGGGCGUUUAGCCUGUAAAAAAAGAGGCUGUGUUCCGCCUCCCCCCCAAAAUUGUACAGGCGGUCGUGUGCGCCCACGCAUCGAGGUGUUGUAAAAGCUGCCACGGCACUUUUCACCUGUGCAGUGCGAGAUUGGCCAGCCGGUUUAAAAACCCCUCCAAACAAUCAAAGGUUGACCUCGGAUCAGGUAGGGAUACCCGCUGAACUUAAGCAUAUCAAUAAGCGGAGGA